UAGCUCAGUUAGUAAGAGCAUGAGGCUCUUAAUCCCAGGGUUGUGGGUUCAAGUCCUGGGUCGGGCAAAG